rnacentral:rRNA from 1 species
UACGGAGGGUGCAAGCGUUAUCCGGAUUCACUGGGUUUAAAGGGUGCGUAGGCGGACUAUUAAGUCAGUGGUGAAAGCCCCCAGCCUAACUGGGGAACUGCCAUUGAUACUGAUGGUCUUGAGUACAUUUGAGGUGGGCGGAAUGUGUCAUGUAGCGGUGAAAUGCUUAGAUAUGACACAGAACACCGAUUGCGAAGGCAGCUCACUAAACUGUAACUGACGCUGAGGCACGAAAGCGUGGGGAGCAAACAGG